ensembl:lncRNA
GGUCUGUCUAGUUACUGGACCAGAUGAAAUGAGACGGAGAGGUAAUAAAGUCUGUCGGCACGAGGACCUUGGAUUUAUUAAGUAAAGUGGCAACGGUUAUACAGAGUCAUAAGCGUGAGAAAUCGAAUAUGUCUAAGUCCCUAAUCAGCGCUGAUGGUUCGUCCGGAGCUUUGCCUCCGUGGAAGGUCUGCUUCAGAAGAAGGUGAAGAGUCUCUGUGUGAUACAGUCUUAUACUGUAUCUUCCUCCUGAUGAGGUGUGUGCGUUUGAGAUGUGUGUGGUUCUGUGUGUUUUACUUGACCUUGGCUCCCAGGCCCUGCUGUGUAUGCCUCCUAACGGGGGAGAGCUCCUCGUGUCUCUCAGGCCCUUGGUAUGGGCAGAUAACGGGGGAGAGCUUCAAAGUGUCUCCUGUGUGCGGCUCUCCCGUUCUUGAAGAUGCUGCCAGCCUGGGAAAUGGGGCCUUCGGCUCCGGCCUUGACCUGACUAUAUUCUCAUGUAUGUGUUAUGUGUUAAAAGUCGACUAUAUUGUAAGUUGACUGCCAUGUGAUGUGCUCAUUAAGCUAGGGUAGGAGUUAGCUAUACUUAUAAUGUACAUGUGAUGUACUCAGCAGGUUAUUUUGCCCAACAUAUCCCCCUCAAGUCGUCGCAAGACGACUUUUACUCAUUAGGGGUACGAGGGAUAGGACUCCAGCGCGGGACUACCAUUAUAACAUUAUUAGAAGUAACAGAAAGAAGGCAAAUGACCAUAAAAACAAAUAACCAUGAGCCUGGGACGAAAACAGCUCGCUGGACCGGGUGUAUGGGGAACCACUUGGGAGAAACGCCACCCAUGCUUCAGGCAUGGGCAUGCCAUACACACCCCACCUAGGGGGUGGCAUCCACCCCGGCCCUACAUUGCGAGCAAACAAUACCAACAAUAAUAGCAGCAGAUAAUACACAAAACAUACCAUAAACAUACAAUAAUACAAAAACAAACACCAAAAACAACAACCAACAACAAAGCUGGCCACAUAACAAAACCAACACCAAACCAUAACAAUAACAACAAAAUGCAACAAUAAAACGAACAGUAAACAAUAACAAUAUAAAAAUGCAACAAUCACACAAAUACUACACUAACGAUCACAGGAAAGAAAUGUAACCACGAAACGUGUCCCUAAAUAAUAGCGAAGAUAUGAGGUAGAUAACGAAUGGCAAUCCCCCUCAACCCAUCCCUAGAGGACCACACACUAAGGAUGUGAGGAGGAGUUGACUGGUCGUGUUACAACAAGCAAUCACACGCAUGGGGCAUCCAGGGUAGGCUCGGGCACGGGAACAACCGAAACCAUGGAAUAGUCCUGAGCGUCAUCAUGGGCAGGUGGUCGCAAGGCGCCACCUGAGCAUUAGACCCUUUUAUUCAACUGCGCUCAGGAC